GGGCUGUUAGCUCAGUUGGUAGAGCAGUGGACUCUUAAUCCAUUUGUCGAGGGUUCGAAUCCCUCACGGCCCACCA
rnacentral:tRNA from 1 species